UUUAUUUCCUAGGACUCUCCCUUCUCGUUUUAUCAGUGGAAGUUUCGUCUCCCCAGGGUUGCGUAAAAACUAGGAGAGAAAAAGAAUUAGUUCUCCAGUCUUGCCCACUCCCUAAGUUUCCGUCCAGUAAUGAAAUCGAGCUUAAUUUAACUUAUAUAAACUCACAGGGAAAUGAGGUAAGUCCGCAAGAAGACCAUUUCUAGUAUGAGAAAGUUACAUCCUUAGAUUAUUCUCAUAAUAAGAUUUCUUCUUUUGAAGAUGAAUCGCAGAGGUUUGUUAGUGUAUCGCAGAUUGUUACAAGACAACGAGUUAACUGUCAUUACCGAUGCCUCUUCGAAAAAGAUUAUCUCUCCGAAGGAGGCAAAAUUUGUAUCUGUAC